AGGAUGAACGCUGGCGGCGUGCCUAAUACAUGCAAGUCGAGCGAACAGACGAGGAGCUUGCUCCUCUGACGUUAGCGGCGGACGGGUGAGUAACACGUGGAUAACCUACCUAUAAGACUGGGAUAACUUCGGGAAACCGGAGCUAAUACCGGAUAAUAUAUUGAACCGCAUGGUUCAAUAGUGAAAGACGGUUUUGCUGUCACUUAUAGAUGGAUCCGCGCCGCAUUAGCUAGUUGGUAAGGUAACGGCUUACCAAGGCAACGAUGCGUAGCCGACCUGAGAGGGUGAUCGGCCACACUGGAACUGAGACACGGUCCAGACUCCUACGGGAGGCAGCAGUAGGGAAUCUUCCGCAAUGGGCGAAAGCCUGACGGAGCAACGCCGCGUGAGUGAUGAAGGUCUUCGGAUCGUAAAACUCUGUUAUUAGGGAAGAACAAAUGUGUAAGUAACUAUGCACGUCUUGACGGUACCUAAUCAGAAAGCCACGGCUAACUACGUGCCAGCAGCCGCGGUAAUACGUAGGUGGCAAGCGUUAUCCGGAAUUAUUGGGCGUAAAGCGCGCGUAGGCGGUUUUUUAAGUCUGAUGUGAAAGCCCACGGCUCAACCGUGGAGGGUCAUUGGAAACUGGAAAACUUGAGUGCAGAAGAGGAAAGUGGAAUUCCAUGUGUAGCGGUGAAAUGCGCAGAGAUAUGGAGGAACACCAGUGGCGAAGGCGACUUUCUGGUCUGUAACUGACGCUGAUGUGCGAAAGCGUGGGGAUCAAACAGGAUUAGAUACCCUGGUAGUCCACGCCGUAAACGAUGAGUGCUAAGUGUUAGGGGGUUUCCGCCCCUUAGUGCUGCAGCUAACGCAUUAAGCACUCCGCCUGGGGAGUACGACCGCAAGGUUGAAACUCAAAGGAAUUGACGGGGACCCGCACAAGCGGUGGAGCAUGUGGUUUAAUUCGAAGCAACGCGAAGAACCUUACCAAAUCUUGACAUCCUCUGACCCCUCUAGAGAUAGAGUUUUCCCCUUCGGGGGACAGAGUGACAGGUGGUGCAUGGUUGUCGUCAGCUCGUGUCGUGAGAUGUUGGGUUAAGUCCCGCAACGAGCGCAACCCUUAAGCUUAGUUGCCAUCAUUAAGUUGGGCACUCUAAGUUGACUGCCGGUGACAAACCGGAGGAAGGUGGGGAUGACGUCAAAUCAUCAUGCCCCUUAUGAUUUGGGCUACACACGUGCUACAAUGGACAAUACAAAGGGCAGCGAAACCGCGAGGUCAAGCAAAUCCCAUAAAGUUGUUCUCAGUUCGGAUUGUAGUCUGCAACUCGA
rnacentral:rRNA from 1 species